rnacentral:rRNA from 1 species
GAUGAACGCUAGCGGCAGGCCUAAUACAUGCAAGUCGAGCGGCAAGUUGAGAAGCAAUUCGAGACCUAGAGCGGCGUACGGGUGCGUAACGCGUAUGCAACCUACCUCAUACAGGGGGAUAGCCCGGAGAAAUCUGGAUUAAUACCCCAUAGUACAUAUAGAGGGCAUCUGAAAUAUGUUAAAGAUUCAUCGGUAUGAGAUGGGCAUGCGUCUGAUUAGAUAGUUGGCGGUGUAACGGACCACCAAGGCGACGAUCAGUAGGGGUUCUGAGCGGAAGGUCCCCCACACUGGCACUAAGAUACUGGCCAGACGCCUACGGGAGGCAGCCGUAGGGAGUAUUGGGCAAUGGUCGGAAGACUGACCCAGCCAUGCCGCGGGCAGGAAGAAGGCCCUCUGGGUUGUAAACUGCUUUUAUCUGGGAAGAAAAGGCCCGUGCGCGGGACAUUGCCGGUACCAGAUGAAUAAGCACCGGCUAACUCCGUGCCAGCCGCCGCAGUAAAAC